rnacentral:lncRNA from 1 species
CCGGCCUCACUCCGCGGCCCGCCAGGACCCGGCCCCGGUGAACGGGCUCGGGGUGCCGAGGUCCGGCUGCGGGGCCGGGAAGCCACCUCCACCUUGCCGUCUGUUACGACCCCCGAGGCGCAAGGCUGAGCCCCAUCUCGCUAUCCGGGUCCGGAGGGGUUCACCUUAGAAGGAUUUUUUGAAGCUCUUGGCGCUGGCUCUAAAAGAACCCACUUCCUUGCGGAUUUCAGGAGUCAAGAAUCCUUAAACGGAGCCAAUUUGCUUUGUAAAGCCAAUUGCCCAAGUGACUUGAGUUCGAAAGGAGAUACUUCCUGGACAACUGCUAUAAAAACAACAACAAAUACUUUUAUUAAUUCGGGGAGCCUGGUCACCAACUGGAUGCUCAGAUGGAACCCUGAGCAGCCCAUGUACAUGGAAGAUCUUUAUUGCAGAGAUCUUCAAACCAGAUGGCUCGCAGAGAUUGAGGAACUUGCCCAAGGCUACGCAGCUUGAUCUUCUAAGGGUGUGAGGAUACAGGCGUCAAAGACCCCGUGCUGAGACAGCUCCAUAACAACAUGCAGAUAUUUGGCAAUGAGGGUUCAGAAGAGGACUUGCUGUGGAGAAGAGAGAAAAGAGAUGGGAAGACUCUGUGAAUGAAUAGAGAACACUCUGCAAGCAUCCCAGUUCCUUUGGUUGCCCUGCAGUCUGCAGGUACCAGGAGAAAUCAAAAGCCGCCUGGAAGGGCUUUCUGUCUGUAUGGAGUCAAGGCAGUGUCUUCAAAUCUGUGCUUUCUAAAACAAAGAAAUAACCUUGAUGAAACAAAUUUUCCCCAGAGGAAGGGGAGAGCCCACAGUGAGCUGGUAAAGAAGAUGCCUGGAGCAGGCAGCAUCCUCAAAUGGAAGAGAUGGUGUCUUGCUAUGUUGCCCAAGCUGGUCUUAAAUUCCUGGCAUCAAGUGAUCCUCCUGCCUCAGCCUCCCAAAGUACUGGGAUUACAGAACAAAACAAUCAGCAGGCGGGUCUGCGGCAUUCUAAGAACAGACACUGGCAGGAACAAAGGUUACAGAAGUGAAUGACUCUAAGAAUCAAGCAAGACAUGGAGUGGCAGAAAAUUAAAUUCUGAAUCCCUAAAAGACAUGAUGCAAAGAUGACCUCCUCUCCCAAGGACAUGUCCUCAUCCUGCGCUGACCGUGUGUGGUCAUUUCAGAAAAAGCGAACAAUGGAGAACCUGCUUGAAUGAUACUUAGACCUGGGACAACUGAAAGGAGUUGCACUUAUACAAUUCGGUGCAGUGGAGUCCCCUGGGAGGAGCCCCAGUCACACGGGAAGAGACAGUCACAGCUGUAAUAAAUGAUGGCUAGCAUGUAUCAAGCACUGGCCGAGUCCUCAGCAUACAUUACAUUACAGAAUUCAGUGUGCACCUCAACACUCUGGGGGUGUAUUUUAUAGGAGAACUGUGGCACAAAGAGGGUAAGUGUCUUACUAACAGUGUGGCUCAUCUGCCAA